UGUGAGAAGAGCUUGCUCUCACUCUCUCUGCCCUGAGGUCUUCUUUCUCUGCUCAGCUGGAUCCUGCUUCUUGGUAGGAGAGAGCUUCUAUGUUUGGGGAUCCAGAAUGCCUCCAUGUGCCACCAAGCCAGGCCCCAAACUCUACGAGGAUAGAAGCUCCUUUAUUUGGGACCUUGCCCUAUGCCUCUCUUCAUCUGGCUGUUAACUUGUAUCCUUUGUGAUAUCCUUUAUGAAACAGGUGUUUUCCUGAGUUCUGUGAGCUGCUCUAGCAAAUUAAUCAAACCUAAUGGAGAGGUCGUGGGAACCUCUAAUCUAUAGCUGAUAGCAUCAGAAUUGAGUUGAGUUCUCCAAUGCCCUGCUGGUGUUCAAGAAUUGCGUGGUGCUGGAGGCACUGGAGGGAGAAGAGUGAGGACAAUGCAGGCGGAGCAGAGACAGCACCAAGUAGCUCUGUGCCAUAUGGGGAAGGAACGGACAGCUCUUCCUGGAUUCCAGUCCCAUGACAUGCUGACAAACCCCAGAUGCAAACCCCCUCCAUCCAGAAGGAGGAGA